AACUGUACCAAUGGCUGUGUUAAGAUCAACCACCUUUUAUAAGCAAAGAUGGAUGGUCAUGAUGGUGGACACUGCAGUUACAUGUCCUACUGAUGGAACGGCCUUCACAGAACAGAUGAUUACAUGGAAUGUUCCCCGUGUUCUACCUCCUCUUGUUCCGACACCACAAAUUACUACCCUUGAUGUCCAAAUGGGAGUUGAUGGCCGCAAGCUUGACCCUGCAACGAUACAUAAUAGAGAUUAUAAACUGGAUGUCGGUCCCCAGCUAAUCACUGUAAAAAUUCCUGUGGGAGCUGAUGGUGGAUAUUACAAGAGCCAUGUAUUGGACAACACCUAUGUGAUCUCUUACUCUACUGAACCAAUGCUGGAGCAU